rnacentral:rRNA from 1 species
UACGUAGGGAGCAAACGUUGUCCGGAAUUAUUGGGCGUAAAGGGCUCGUAGGCGGUUCAACAAGUCGGUCGUGAAAGCCCGGGGCUCAACCCCGGGAUGCCGGUCGAAACUAUUGUGACUAGAGUUCGGUAGAGGUGAGUGGAAUUCUCGGUGUAGCGGUGGAAUGCGCAGAUAUCGAGAGGAACACCAUUAGCGAAGGCGGCUCACUGGGCCGAUACUGACGCUGAGGAGCGAAAGCGUGGGGAGCAAACAGGAUUAGAUACCCCCGUA